rnacentral:lncRNA from 1 species
UUUAUGUUUCAAAUGAGAAAGCUUGCUUGUGCUAUAAUGUGAGUUGAGAGAGAGGGGGAGAAGGAAGUUUACGUAAGAGAAAAAUCGUCAAUCCAUUCCUUCUGGAGGCAAAACACAAUUAAGAUUGCUUUGUUUCUCUAAAGUGGAGAAGGCAGAGGCUCUAGAAAUAAGAUUAAUUGGAGACUGAUCCCGGGUCUGUAGUAUCUUGUGUAGUGGUAGAAUUAGCAAUGUAGAAACCUUGUUGAUAGGUGAGUAGGUGACAUGAAUGAAUCAAACUCCCUACACAUAAUGGUAUUGUAUUAAAACAUAGGAAAUGUUAUCAAAUAUCAAUAGAGGAAGGGAGGUGAAUGGAAGUUGGAAGCCAAAAUUAAUGAAAUAUUCUCCUUAAAUCUCCACUAGGAGGUGCUGUUUCAAAAGGGAAGAGGAAAAAGAAAAUUGCACUGAAAGCACCACAGUUCCACAAGUGCACUUUGACAGAAGAACAACGUAACCUUCAUACCUGCCCAAUUUUGGUGGUAGAUUGUCAGACCAUAAAACCUCUCAAUCUCUGGGUCAGGCUUCAGACUUUUAUUACAACAGCUACUGAUACAGUAAGUGCUUCAAACAGUUCAGGUAAACAUGACAAACUGCUGUGGGGAAAAUGCAGCCAAAUUUCUUUGUAGCAUAAAUCCAUUCAAAAUCUUGUAGAUAAUGGAGGAAACAUGCAUAGUUUAAAAAUGUAACUUAUUUGCAAAUAUUGUUACAGAUUAUGGGGAGGAGAAUUUUCUGUUUUUACAAAGUUCCUUGACUUCACCUGAAAUAUUCUUUAACUAGUUAGAGAGCUUUCAUGCAUACAUAAACUUGUUUCUUCAAACUGAAGAAGCCACUGUUGAUUUCUAAAGCCAGAUGCAUUUUGGUCUAGCAUGCAGAAUAACAGUGAUGAAUAAAGCUUCYGCCUCCUCUUAAUAGACUUGUCUU